UGCUGGGAGCUCACAUGAUUCAUCGCAGCACCAGCCUGCACAGGCUGCACACUCACUGGGGCUGUAACACUGCUUGACCCUAGACUGUGGACGCACACAGAAACUGGCAAAACAACCCUGCAUACUCCGGAAAAAAACAAGGCUGUGGGGAAUAUUAUCACCAGUCAUUUAGAUUUGAGUGGCCAUUUUAUGAUGCUGGACUUGUUUUGCAGCUCUCCGUUGCAUUUCAUUUCAAAUUUUUGGAUACAAACAUAGGCUAAGAAGAGUUGAUUAGACACGUCUAUUUAAGUACCGGGCUGCAGCAGCUGGACUGGCGGCACUGGCCUCUGACUUGCCUCCAUGGGGCCAUGAUCAUUUCCUGUGCGCCCCUCUGCCCUUUAUCUUGCUGACAGUGGCUCCAAUCCCGCUGGCUGCACUCUGCCUGCUUGCUGCCUGCCAACACUGGGAAACAUUACUUUAAAAAUGGAAAUUAUUACCCGAUGAACAUCAUUUUUACUCCGCAUUUGUUUGUUUUUUAACCAAGAAUUGAAUACAAACCUUACGAAAUGACAGGUGCUUUUGGUCCAAUUAUUAUUAAAUAAACAGAAUAAAAUGAA